rnacentral:rRNA from 1 species
AACGAACGCUGGUGGCAUGCCUAACACAUGCAAGUCGAACGAGACCUUCGGGUCUAGUGGCGCACGGGUGCGUAACGCGUGGGAACCUGCCCUUAGGUUCGGAAUAACUCCCCGAAAGGGGUGCUAAUACCGGAUAAUGUCUUCGGACCAAAGAUUUAUCGCCUUUGGAUGGGCCCGCGUUGGAUUAGCUAGUUGGUAGGGUAAAAGCCUACCAAGGCGACGAUCCAUAGCUGGUCUGAGAGGAUGAUCAGCCACACUGGGACUGAGACACGGCCCAGACCUCUAACGGAAGGAAGAGGUGGGAAUAUUGGAAAAUGGGCGGAAGGCUGAUCCAACCAAGGCGGGUGAGUGAAUAAGGGCUUAGGGUUGUAAAGCUCUUUUACCCGGGAUGAUAAUGACAGUACCGGGAGAAUAAGCUCCGGCUAACUCCGUG